GACGAACGCUGGCGGCGUGCUUAACACAUGCAAGUCGAACGAUGAAGGAGGAGCUUGCUCCUCCGGAUUAGUGGCGAACGGGUGAGUAAUACGUGAGCAAUGUGCCCUUGACUCUGGGAUAAGCGCUGGAAACGGCGUCUAAUACCGGAUACGACCCUCGGAGGCAUCUCCUGAUGGUGGAAAGAACUUCGGUCAAGGAUCAGCUCACGGCCUAUCAGCUAGUUGGUGAGGUAACGGCUCACCAAGGCGACGACGGGUAGCCGGCCUGAGAGGGUGACCGGCCACACUGGGACUGAGACACGGCCCAGACUCCUACGGGAGGCAGCAGUGGGGAAUAUUGCACAAUGGGCGCAAGCCUGAUGCAGCAACGCCGCGUGAGGGACGAAGGCCUUCGGGUUGUAAACCUCUUUUAGCAGGGAAGAAGCGAAAGUGACGGUACCUGCAGAAAAAGCACCGGCUAACUACGUGCCAGCAGCCGCCGUAACAC
rnacentral:rRNA from 1 species